GGCAAGCAGAUCUAUUAUGGGAAUUCCCCACUGGCUGAAUACCAGCUCCAAGCUGGACCCUGGCAGUGACUGGGGACAGACUGUCUUCUUAGGAAGUCCGCUAGAAGUUGCUGACUCUUGUGCUUGAGAGCCAGGAAGCUGGGACUGCAUGGCUCCCUUUGGGUGUGUAAGUCUCCCUCCCAUGCCCAGUCCAGGUGGACUCGCUGCAGGGACCUCCCGGCGUGAAGCAGGACAGUGGAAGACUCUGAGGUUCAGCCUCAGAAGGUGGUGAAGACCAGGGACAUACCCAGAGAGAAAGUGUGACCCUUUGGGGGCUGACACACUGAGGGGUCCUCCAAGAGACUGUUCCAGAGCCAGGCCUGUGGAUCUGCGACAACUGUAGAUGUCUGUCAAGAUCUGCACUGUGGAAAUCCAUAGAACAGGCUUUGUUCUUCUGACAAGGCCCCAGUGGCACUGAGGAGCAGCUGUCUCUGUGUGAUGCCAGAGCAGACCAGCCUGGGGUAUCCUGCCUGGGCCAUACUGCAGCCUCAGCACUCUCCUGGAGGGUGAACUGGGCCAGGGGCCUGGGAGACUGAUUUUCCAUGGUGGUUAUUGAGAGGGGUCCUUGGGGACGAAGAUGGAAACCAAAUGCUAUGUCCUGGAUUUGGGGGACUCCCUCAUGAUGGUUCAACUUGCCUGGCCUGGGACCAGCACUAGCACCAGGAUGGGAGGAGGAAAGGGAAGUGAAGGCAAGAGGUGGGGUGGGCAAAAGGGCAGGGGCUCUCCAUGGGACAUGCCUAGCACCUUGCUUGGCCCCAUUUUCAAAUGCCAAUUGGCAGUUCAGGGAAGCAGAGAGAAAAAUGUCCCUGCCUCCCCUGCACUCUCAUGCUGCCAGUGCCGAUGCCCUAUGCUAUGGAAUCAUCCUGACGCCUCCCCUUCUUAGAGGACAUCGGGUCGUUGGUGUGACUGUCACCAAGGUUUCAGCUCAUCGAGUCUGAUGAGCCUCAGCUGACUGGUCAGAUUCCCAGCCAGGGUGCUGCACUGGGCUACACUGCUGUAACCCUGGUUUAGACCCUGCCCAGGGUGGCACCUGCACUUGGCACUGCACACCCAGACAGCGGGCAGUGCAAUGCACUGUACGGGUUGGCAUGCAGCACAAAGGAGCACAGUGACUGGUGGAACCCAUUCCAAUGCAGACACCUGGAGAACGUGUCCAAUAUGUUGGAAGAGGUGCCCAUGGUGAU